rnacentral:rRNA from 1 species
ACGCGAAAGGGGGGCAAUCCCUGAGUAGAGUGGCAAACGGGUGAGUAACACGUGGGUGACCUGCCUUCGAGUGGGGGAUAACGUCCCGAAAGGGACGCUAAUACCGCAUGACAUCCUGCUUUUGGACAAGCGGAGAUCAAAGCUGGGGAUCGCAAGACCUGGCGCUUGAAGAGGGGCCCGCGCCUGAUUAGCUAGUUGGUGAGGUAACGGCUCACCAAGGCUACGAUCAGUAUCCGGCCUGAGAGGGCGGACGGACACACUGGGACUGAGACACGGCCCAGACUCCUACGGGAGGCAGCAGUGGGGAAUUGUUCGCAAUGGGCGCAAGCCUGACGACGCAACGCCGCGUGGAGGAUGAAGGUCUUCGGGUCGUAAACUCCUGUCGAGCGGGAAGAACAGCUUCGGUGUGAAUAUCGCCGGAGCCUGACGGUACCGCUAAAGGAAGCCCCGGCUAACUCCGUGCCAGCAGCCGCGGUAAUACGGGGGGGGCAAGCGUUG